AUGAACGCUCGCGGCGUGCCUAAUACAUGCAAGUCGAGCGAACGGACGAGAAGCUUUCUUCUCUGAUGGUAGCGGCGGACGGGUGAGUAACACGUGGAUAACCUACCUAUAAGACUGGGAUAACUUCGGGAAACCGGAGCUAAUACCGGAUAAUAUUUUUAACCGCAUGGUUCAAAAGUGAAAGACGGUCUUGCUGUCACUUAUAGAUGGAUCCUCGCUGCAUUAGCUAGUUGGUAAGGUAACGGCUUACCAAGGCGACUAUGCAUAGCCGACCUGAGAGGCUGAUAGGCCGCCCUGGAACUGGGCCACGGUCCAGACUCCUGAGGGAGGCAGCAGUAGGGAAUCUUACGCAAUGGGCGAAAGCCUGACGGAGCAACGCCGCGUGAGUGAUGAAGGUCUUCGGAUCGUAAAACUCUGCUAUUAGGGAAGAACAUAUGUGUAAGUAAAUGUGCACAUCUUGACGGUACCUAAUCAGAAAGCCACGGCUAACUACGUG
rnacentral:rRNA from 1 species